rnacentral:rRNA from 1 species
CGUACAAGCAGUGGGAGCCACGUUUAUGGGGUGACUGCGUACCUUUUGUAUAAUGGGUCAGCGACUUAUAUUCUGUAGCAAGGUUAACCGUAUAGGGGAGCCGGAGGGAAACCGAGUCUUAAUUGGGCGUUAAGUUGCAGGGUAUAGACCCGAAACCCGGUGAUCUAGCCAUGGGCAGGUUGAAGGUUGGGUAACACUAACUGGAGGACCGAACCGACUAAUGUUGAAAAAUUAGCGGAUGACCUGUGGCUGGGGGUGAAAGGCCAAUCAAACCGGGAGAUAGCUGGUUCUCCCCGAAAGCUAUUUAGGUAGCGCCUCGUGAAUUCAUCUCCGGGGGUAGAGCACUGUUUCGGCUAGGGGGCCAUCCCGGCUUACCAACCCGAUGCAAACUGCGAAUACCGGAGAAUGUUAUCACGGGAGACACACGGCGGGUGCUAACGUCCGUCGUGAAGAGGGAAACAACCCAGACCGCCAGCUAAGGUCCCAAAGUCAUGGUUAAGUGGGAAACGAUGUGGGAAGGCCCAGACAGCCAGGAUGUUGGCUUAGAAGCAGCCAUCAUUUAAAGAAAGCGUAAUAGCUCACUGGUCGAGUCGGCCUGCGCGGAAGAUGUAACGGGGCUAAACCAUGCACCGAAGCUGCGGCAGCGA